CACUGGAUCACUGACUCAGCAAUGACUGAGGAUCACAGUGCUGACCGUUACAUGAGGCCACAAAGACAGGCUCUGCUGUCAUACUGACGUCAGAACAGCGAGGGCAUGAGCGUGGGCCAGGCACUGUGUAUGGUGUGAAAUGACUGCACUGGCACGACCAGGGCACCGUCCAUGUGUGUGCCCUGUUCAGUCAGGAGUCAGCAGUGCUUCAGAGAGCUUGGCAGCAUACUCUGUUCUGCACACAAGGCUCUAGGCACCAGAAACACUCAGACAUGAAGAAAGGAGCCUCCACUGUUCAUGGAGUAGCUCAUGAAAGGAUGGAGAUGCACCCAGAGUGCAACAGAGCUGAAGAGAGUAGUCAGGCUGGGCUUGGGGGAAUACAGGGGAGCAACCAGGAGCAGGGCUUGCCUUUUGUACAAUGUGCACAGAACUCUUAAAUGAACCAGGGAAUGCGGUUUCCACGCCAACACACAGAUAUUCUAAUUAAUUUUUCAUGCCAAGAGACUCAAAGUACUUUGUAGUGAUUGGAUCAAUUCCUGACAGCUACUGGAAUUUAAUUGCUUUUUUUUCCCUUGUGGAAGGCUGGGGGAGCGUGUGAACUCAGGGCUGUUAAAAGGAAAAUGCUCAGGGCUAUUCAAGGGAAAAUGCCCUGCUCUCUGAUACUAGCACUCAGGGCUCAGAACCAGUGGAGGUGGGGGGCCACGUUUCUAGAUACAAGAACGAGUUUCAGCGUUUCCUCUACUUGAGUGUUCUCAGUGUUGCCUUUUUACUCCGAAGUCUGUACGGAUGUAGGCAGUUUUUUAACCACUAAAUGUUUCAACAACGCAUCGUCCCUAAUUUUCCAAAAACUUAAACUCUAAAUUCCAUUAUUUUAUUUUAUAUAUAUUAUUUUUUCUGGGGGGAUGGGGGGACUAGGACACAAAAGAGCCUGGUCUUUGGCGGGCAUUGCGCCAGCGGGAACCUGUUUCUCGCUCGCUGGUGGCGGAGCUGUUGGAUUCAAACUCAGUAUAUACGCAGUGCGAGGGGUCCGGGCCGCAGCCCGCGCCUCCCGCGCCUCCCGCGCCUCCAGCCGGCUGGCCGCGGGCCCUCCCAGCCCUGGAAAGGGUUAAGCGAGCGGCGAGGGCUCGGGGCGGGCGGCCGGGGGCCGGGACGCGCCGGCGCGCUCCCGAGCACGCGCUCCCGGCCACGGGCUGCGGCCGCUCUCCCGCCCGCGUCCCCGCCUCGGCGCGCUUCUCAGAUCCGCCAGCGCCUGGCGAGGCCUCCAGGACGCGGAACACGAAGAGCUGGUGACAUGACAUGGAAACACCUGAUGUUCCGACAAAGGAAGUCGCAGAGGAAGGCCCCCGGUGGAUGAGUGAGGAAGACGGGUCUAGUGUGUGCACUGACUUGUCCUAACGCCCACCUGGAGAGUGAAUUACGCACCCCCGCCUGCCCCCAGGUGAACACCGCCGAGCCAGGCCCGCACUCAGCCCUAAUGGCGAACGGGGGUCACACACGAGGAGAAAGCUCCCCGGGCGGCUGCCUGUAAAGCAGGACUGAAAGUCAGGGUUGGGAAGCGUGGACCGCAGCCCGGCGCCAAGCGCAGACGCGAUGGGAUGCGGACGGAUGGACGGUGACUCGGGGAGACAGGGCGGGCCAGGUGCUUAGUACCCGACAGCUGGGCCCGCAGAGCGGGACCCGUGCCCAGAGCGGCGGCAGCGGCUGCCCGACCGUUCCGUCCGCCCGCGCGGAGCCCCGACUACACAGACCCGGGCAGACGGCCGCCCGCCCGCGGGGACCGCGCUGGGGUCACAAGUUCAGCCGGGAGCGGGAGCGCGCUCCCGCAGACACACCCCUUUCUCGGGAUAGCGGGCGGGCGGGUGCGAGCCGAGCGGCGCAAGAGCGAAAGCCGCUGUGGACACAAGGGAGGUCUGAUCGCACACCCGGAGCCCGGAGGAGCCAUCGACCUUGGGCAGCCCGAGUCCGGGCGGAGUGAUGCGGAGCUGCUGAGGGGGAC
rnacentral:lncRNA from 1 species